AUUGAACGCUAGCGGCAGGCUUAACACAUGCAAGUCGAGCGGGGUGAUGGUGCUUGCACUAUCACUUAGCGGCGGACGGGUGAGUAAUGCUUAGGAAUCUGCCUAUUAGUGGGGGACGACAUCUCGAAAGGGAUGCUAAUACCGCAUACGUCCUACGGGAGAAAGCAGGGGAUCACUUGUGACCUUGCGCUAAUAGAUGAGCCUAAGUCGGAUUAGCUAGUUGGUGGGGUAAAGGCCUACCAAGGCGACGAUCUGUAGCGGGUCUGAGAGGAUGAUCCGCCACACUGGGACUGAGACACGGCCCAGACUCCUACGGGAGGCAGCAGUGGGGAAUAUUGGACAAUGGGGGGAACCCUGAUCCAGCCAUGCCGCGUGUGUGAAGAAGGCCUUAUGGUUGUAAAGCACUUUAAGCGAGGAGGAGGCUCUUCUGGUUAAUACCCAAGAUGAGUGGACGUUACUCGCAGAAUAAGCACCGGCUAACUCUGUGCCAGCCGCCGCAGUAA
rnacentral:rRNA from 1 species